rnacentral:rRNA from 1 species
UGAAUAAGCCACAGCAUGUGUAAGUAUAAAAAGUAAACUCAGAAACUGCGAAGGGCUCAUAAUAUCAGUUAUAGUUUAUGCGAUGAAGAAUACUAAUAGGAUAACCGUAGUAAUUCGAGAGCUAAUACAUGUAUAAAGUCUUGUAGACGGCAUUAAUAUAAAUGAAAACAAUAGGUUUCGGCCUAUUCGUGAGUAAUAAUAACUAAUCAUAUCGUAUGCUUAAGUAACGAUGUGUCUUUCAAGUUUCUGCCCUAUCACUUUUUAUGGUGGUGUAUUGGACUACCAUG